ensembl:lncRNA
GAAGGUGGAGUAUUUGAUAAAAGUGGGGAAUGAACGAGGAAGAAGCAGAUACCUUUUGGAAUGCUAAUAAGAAGUAGAACUGGAGAGAUACACUUUCUCUGACUGGAAAACUAAGUGCAAUGCAAACAAGUCCUUCAACAUAGUUUGACUGUCCCACCUGGUAUAGAAUUAUAUCUAGUAAUAAAUUCACUAUCAGGACAUAACCAGUGGAUGUGUUUUGUUCCAUGUGUGUGGAACAGUUUUGUUUUUGCCCAGAAACACAUACUCAUAGUUCUCCCCUAAGCUGGUCCUGAAGCCGGAUGAAAAGCAAAGGAAGGCCUACCCUGAGAACGCUCUUGGCUGCAUCUCAUACAUAAUCUGUAUGAACACCACUGUGCUGAUGCAGACCAGAUUGACCUGAUGACAUUGGACCUCAUUCCUGAACGCAGAACCCAAUGCUGGAAGGCCACUGAAGUGUUGAAGAGUGUUGAAAAGGAAAGUGAUAGUGGCUUUAACAGAAGCUUGGAUGUCCAGGUAUGUUGUCAGAGGACCGCAUCAGUUGCACAGUAUAUGAUACUUUGUGGUCUCAAUAAGCUUUAUGUCAGGCUACAGGGAUGUUGGUGUACUACACCCUCUUCUGAGGACACCAUCCUUUUGGGAAAGGGAGUCACUGUGAGACUAACAGUCUGGAUGGGAAGAACGAUCUGGAUUUAGUGGAAGAGGAGCUGGCUAAAGAUUGAAUUGAGAGGAUGAUUGAAUAUGACCCCAAAGACUGGCCAAGAGUGGAGGAGGCACUCAUUCACUCCUAUUUCUGGGAGAAUGAGCGGUUUGAUAGCCACAGUUACACUUUGCACUUAGAUUUAUUGUGCUGAUAAUGUCUCAACUGAAGUUUUCUGACAUAACUGGCUAAUACGCUAGCUUUCUUGAGCAACAUAUUACGGGAACAUUGGAUGACUGUACUGAUAAAACUCCUGCCUUUAGUAUAUAUGGGCCUUUGGCAGGAGGGUGGAGUACCUGAUGAAAUUGGGAAAUGAGAGGGAAGCAUUAUGCAAACACUUUUCUGAUUGCACUGAUAAAACUGCUCUUUACUUUCUUUUGUCUUUUUUUGAUGGUGUGUAUUUUCCUUUAGCAGGAGGGUGGCGAAUUUGAUAAUGAGGGAAUGAGAAAGAAGGAAUGAGGGAAUGAGAAAGAAGUUUUGAGUGUUCAUCUGUCCUUAGCAUGACACCAUGCAAACUAAUUUGAAGAUGAUACCAGUCCUGAUUCCUUUUAAAACAUGCUUCAUGUUUCAUAAAUAUUGCAACAUUGCUUCAGAGAUGUCAUCAUGAUAAUACUGGUACAGAGCACUGAUGUCCACUAUGACACCUUUCUGCACCCAUAUUGCCUCAGCAUGACCUCACACCACUGAUUCACAAUAGACUCACAAGUCACAAGCUGUUUUUAUUUAUUUAAAAGUGGAUUUAUUGCCUUUCAGAAUGUCAACCAAUCACAUUUGCUUUCUGCUCCCUGCACGCAAAAGUGGAUGUUUAAAGUACUUCAUUUUCACUUCAUUUUCAUCCUGUGCUGUUUCACUGAGAAUUGAGGCUUUCUGUUGUGGGGCUAUCAUAAUAACAUUGGUGACUGUAUCAUCUGCCUUGAAUCUGUUUCGGAUUAUUAUUUGUAUUAUUAUUAUUAUUAUUUAUAGCACUCUGUACCAUCAUUUUUUAAGGCACUCUGAACCAUAAUGACAUGAGACUAAGGAAUGAAUCAAUAUUGUAUGGUUUACCUUGUGAUAAGUCUAAUAACUAAAUGUUAAAUAAUAGUAAAUAAACAUUUGAUCCCCUCUAUACA